GAAUAGGAGUGUGCAACCUUUGGUCCAUGUGGAAGGGGUGCCCUGGGCAGAGGCAGAACUCCAGAAAACAGUGUAUGGAAAACUGCCUGCUCUGAGCAGGAGGCUGAGGAAGAGAAGAGGCCAACAGAAUGAGACAGGAGAGCCCAGUACUUCCCAAAAGAUUUGAAGUGGCUCAAAAAAUACCACACAAGGAAAGAAAAUAUUCCAUCAUGUGCCUUUCGGGACAGAGAAGCUUUUCAAAGAAAAUUCUCAUCUGCAACAGAUUUUACUAGGCUCUUUUCCAAACCAGCCCUCUAAAUCAGUUUUAAUACUUUUUAGUGAAGAGAGAUUCAACAAUAACUACCUUUAUUCACCUACAGAAGCAUAUUUUAGAAACAUCCUAGCAAGUGCUUAAAAACAAUAAUCGUUUUAUGCCCCAUAUGGUCUUCACAGAGCCCAUUACCAGGUGCUCCAGAAAGAGCAAAAACACCAAAAUGUUCCUAAAUAUACAACUUCAGCUUGCUCACUUCUUCUGGGAACUUCUUCGGGGCCCCAAUGGCUGUCUAUCUUGUAGCCUGUAAAAUGAAGCAGGUGUUCACCUAACCAGCUCUAGUUAUAGAGCUCUUGUCCAGCAAUUACCUCAAUGCACGUGAAAUUUGGAUUUUUAGAAAUCACACUUCCAACUCUGUUACAUAAAAUAUCUUGGCACAAGGUUCAGUUUUGCCUCUUUUUGUGGUCUGAUAUAUGCCCAUGCUCGACUACAAUCUAAAGCUAACAUAACUCUGUAGUGAGACUAAAUGCCAUUUCUUCAGAGUGUGAGAAGAAAAGACAUUUUCAUCUCCUGCUUCAGAAGAAAACCUAUCAAGUGCUAAGUGCAUGAACGAACAAUGAAAGCACAAUCUUGUGAGUGUUUUCUGAUAGUUAAUUGGUUGGCUGAAAAAAAUAAAUGAAAAGUGUCUAGUGAAUACCUCAAGCUCAAUUAGGAAAAUUUUCUGAAAGUGCUUAUUCCAAUAGACUUCCUAAAGAAAGUAUUUUUUUUUUGCUCAAAUGAAGGAGACAGCUGUGUGAAGUUUUUUUCUUGGUACUGGGGAUUGAACUCAGGGCCUUUGCACGGAGCUACAACCCCACACACUUUUUUAGUUUUUAUUUUCAAAUAUGGCCUCACUAAUUUGCUGAGGCUGGGCUUGAACUUGUGAUUCUCCUGCUUCACCCCCCAAGAGUGCUGGGAUUAUAGGUGUGUACCCCCACACCGAGCUUGUUAAUUUUAUAUUUCUAUACUUCCUGCCAUGACCAAGAUAUGGCAGGUGUUCAGUAACAGUUGAACUAAAUCAACUGUUGAAAAUUGGUGAAGUAUAUGCAAAGGAAAUUAAAUCAUCUCAUCAAAAAGGUAUAUGCAUUCUUAUGCUUACUGCAGCAGUGUGCAUCAUAGUCAAAAUGUGAAAUCAACCAAGAUAUCUGUUAACAGAUGGGUAAAGAAUGGAUAAAGAAAAUGUGGUAUUCAUACACAAAUGGAAUAUUAUUCAACCAUAACAAGGAAUGAAAUCUUGUCAUUUGCAGCAAAAUGGAUGGACUUGGGUGACAUGAUAGUAAAUAAAAUAAGACAGAUACAGAAAGACAAAUACUACAAGUUCACAUUUAAAAGGUAAUUUGAAAAUAGAAUGGAAAUUACUGGAGGCUGGGGAAGACAUGGAGAGGUGGGUAGAAGGAGUUUGGAUAACAAGAACCCAAACACAGUUAGGUAGAAGGACAACUCUAGUGUUCUGCAGCAUAGUAGGUUGACUAUAGUUCACAGAAACCAAAAAUAUAUUUUAAGAAGAACUAGGAGAAAUGGCAGCCCAAAGUCUUCCAACGUAAUGAAAUGAUAAGGUGGUGGAAAUCCAAGUAUCCUGAUUUGAUCAGUAUACAUGAUCAGUAUACAUGAUUUGAUACUGUAUACAUGUACUGAAAUAACCUACUGUACCUUAUAAAUAUGUACAAUUAUUACCUGUUGAUUAACAGAAAAAAAUUAAAUUAAAAAAAAAGAAUUAGCAGAAAUCUAAUUUUGUACACUUUGCCUGAAAAGCAAGAACAUGGUCUCUGGAGCCAAGCAUGCCUCAGUUCAAAAUCUGUCUCUACUGUUUACCUGCCCUAAGCCGGGGCAGUGUAACCACAGUUCAUCUGCUGGUCCUCGUAGAACACCACAGAUAGCACAGGCUGGUGACUCAGCACAGUGGAAAGGAGGCUGUGAUUAUGAGGCCCUCAAAUGAAACCUUGACCAUCAUCAUCAUUGGAAAAUGAGUUUUCACCUAGGAAUCCCACUCAAUUCCUCUCUGCGAUUCUGUUAGUUCAUGUUUAUUUCUAAAAACUUCAUUCAAUUUCAUGCUUUAGGUAAAGUAGGGAACCUACCAGUUUUUUUCUGAUGUUGGAUGAAUCCUGAAGUAGUUGUUUUUUUCUAAAUAUCGGGUGGAAUUACUGGGUAUAUGCUAAUAUAAAAAUAUAAGAAACUGGCUAAAUGGAUAUUGGACCCAACACAUUCUGAGAAAUAUUUUAUUGCUGAUUUUUCAAAAGCCAUGAUAUAAAUUUGUUUCCUUAGGAGUACCUGACUUCUUUCUCCUAAAAAACUGCAGAAAAUGUUUAAAUAGGUCAUCCUAUUGGUUAAUGUGGUAACCAUAGUCAACACACCUGCCUGACACACAGCACUUGGGAAUGUGGCACUGGAAACCAGGCUUCCACCUGCCCAGGUGUCUAAGAAGAAACAGAGAAGGUGGGUGGCACAGGCAUCAGCCACCGCCACAAAUCACUGGGCAAUCCCCAAAGACAUGAACUGUGGAGAGGACUGUCAUCACACACUGGCCUUCUCAGUGACAGCACACUCGGGUGCACACAGGGCGCUUUGUGGGCCAUCCAGGGAGCAUCCUUGAAUCACCAAGGACAGAAUGCUGGCAGAGGGAGUCAGCAAGCAACUACUGCAUCCAUGAGCUGGGCUGGGAGGAUGAAAGGCUCAGCGGCAGCUGAGAGGGAAAAGGUCCUGCUGCAGAGCCCUCAGGAAAGCUUCACCACCUUGUCACUUUCAGAAAGCUCUGCCAAUGCUAGUGAGGAAUGUGUGCUCGCCCCAGAGUCCCUCACUACUUGACAUAGAGUUGCUGAUUUCACUGUCAUCAGAGACCUGAUGAACUACAACACCCAAUCUUGCUCAGCAUCAACAAGAACAACGGACAUCCUGGGAGGCCUGGGAGGCUGGAUUUCUGAUGGGGGAAUCUAAAAUACUUCUUGUACCAUGGAACAUUAGUGAUGUUUUGAAAUCAAAGAAUGAAGACAUUUCUCCAGCUCAGAGUAUUAAGGAUGCUUCUUGUGAUUUGGAAUGAGCAGGCCUGAUGACUUCUGGGCUCUUCCCUCCUAGCUUCAUUACAAUUCCCUGGAAAAGACCUGGCCUAGGGCCCUGUGUGUCUUUGCUCCAGCAGCCCAACACUAGGAAGCAGAGCUUUAAGACAUGGGACUACAGGAAAGCUCUGGAAACCCAGGAGAACCUUCUGUCUCCACUGAGAAAGGCCCCGAAGAAAGCCCAGCUUCCUGGCCACACCUCACUUGGUGCUGGAGUCACCAAAGUCUCUCUUCCUGCCCCACGGUGCCUUCCCUGACACCAGGCUGUCUCCACACCUAUGACCCCCAGGCCUGCCUGUCAUCAUGUGAGCUGGGGAAAGCCACGUUGCCACCCAUUUUUUUGGAUUGUUUCCUAAUGUUCAUGAUUCCUGGCCACUGAGAAGUGCUUCUGGGGACUGGACUUGCAGAGGGGCAGAAGAGGGAGGAGAGGAAAGUGAUAUGGAGAUUGCUGACAGAGUGGAAAGGCAGUGGGAGUUCACCUUCCUUCCCUCCGCUCUCCAGGCCCCGGCACCAGGGUCAGCAGUUCAUGCAGAAGAUAUCAGGAUUCUUUGGAGCAAUUUAUGCUCCCAAAUCCGCACUGACAGCCCAGGCCAAAUUGCCUUCCUAUGUGAAGGUCAUUUGCUCUGUCAAGCACUUGACAAUUGCUCAAAGGGAAAUGAGGGAAUUGUUUUGUAUAAAUGAGUCAACUUCUCUUGAAUUCACACCACUUGCGAUGGACCAUGCCAUGACAGUCAGGGACAAGAUUAUUGCUGAGCUUUCAGUCUUACAAAGGUGAGAAAGAAACCAGACAACAGCUCAAUGGCUGCAUAUUUGGACCUAAAGCUGUGUGAAUCUGCUCUGGAAGGCACUACAUCCUGCACUGCAGCUGCAAUUGGAGCAGGGAGACAGCGGGUGUGGUGAAAGGUGCGUCUGGAAAUGCAGGUCCCCAUGAGGCACUUGAGAUGCUCUGACACCAGGUGAAGGACUUGUUCCCCUGCUACUGCAGUGCAGCCUGCAGAGCCCCAGCUCUUGGCUACCAGAGGCCUCCCCUCCUUCCUGGAGAAGGCAGCAGCCAGUGGCUCACUGAUAUGGAAGACUAAGGGCUAGAUCACUUCACCACCUCUGGGACAACACAGAGAAUGAGUCAAGGACCAUGGAGGCUACAUUGCAGCUCCAUGCCACUUCCUCCUUCCUCUCCUUUCCUUCUCUUCCUAUCCAUCCCCAGGUGAUGACCACAAUGCUCCAUCCAGAGGCAAGAACAACUGGACCAGAGUGAGCUGACUGGAGAUGAGGGGGUUUGGGUUCAAACCCUGAUGAAUUCAGCUCAACCAGUGAAUUACCAUUUGUAUGCCAUUUAUAAUAUACGCCAUUUAUACUGGGUUCUACUGACACUAUACCCUAAAGCGGUAAGCGAUAUUUGCUCCUUAUUUUACAAAGACUUCAACAAGAGACAAAAGAUGACUCAAACUCAGAUAAAAGUAGUCAAAAGUCUAAAGGUACCAUUGUAAGAUCAAACAUAUCCUCAUAUCCUCAGAAAAGCAGGGCAAGGCUGACCCGAAGUCAAGAUGUGGGGAUUUUAUCUGAGUCACUUAACCCAGUUAGUCAUUAACUGAGUUUGCCAAAUGAGCCUAAACUAUCUCCCUAAUAGAAACAAUAGGAAUCACAUGUUAGACUUGAGCAAAUGUGGUUGUUUGAACUCCAACUGGACUUUUCCUGAAUCUUUGAAGACUCCUAAUCAUAUUUGGCCAGGGAGGCAUACAUAAUUGUCUUUUUUUGUACUGGGGAUCGAACUCAGGACCUUGCGCUUGUGAGGCAGGUGGCAGCACCACUGAGCUAAAUCCUCAGCUCCGUAAUUUUUUAUAACAGUACUUCAUAUGUUUAGCUAUGUCACUAAAGUUCACAUCAAGAACAGACACCUUGGCUGGAUUUUUCAACCUGGCCUGUGAAAGCCUGCAGCACCCACCCCUGCCAGAUAUUGGUGCAUUCACAGUGUUUAGAAAGCCCCAGGAAUGAAGGUGCAUCCAGCUCACUUUUCACAUCAAGGGACACAUACACACGCACGCACGCGCACAACAUCCACAGGUCAAAAGGAACCAGGAAAAGGGAAAAAAAACACUUUAUUCACAAAAUGUAUUUUUAAACAUCAUUUUUCCUGUGCAGCUGUCUGGCCUGAUUCCAUCAUGAAAAGCAAAUGUUUAAAACAGUAUACUAAUUAAAAAUAAAUUAUUUUAAAAAUUGACCUCUGGAUCAAAAUGUGUUAGUAUUAGAAAGGAUCUUAAAAUUCAUUUUAUAAAACAUUUUGUGUAUGUAGAUAAAGAAAUGGCACUAGAUAGGUGCAUUGCUGGUUAGGGUUGAACCUUGGCUUUGCUGACACAAGGACUCUGCUAUAAUCGCAGUUAUGACAUUCUGUGACAAUUACCUCACUUGAGAAUUCCCAGGCUCUUCCUUAAGUAGAAAAGAUGUUAUCUCCUCCAGGUAAUGCCAAAAAUAUUAGGUGCCUUGCUUGACAUUUCACAGCUAAUAAGCUCACGUUAUUGCUUAAAAUUUUUCAAUGGUUCUUACAUUUUGAGAUCAAAGGCUUCCUGGCCCCACCUUCUCACAGGCUCCGCCUUCUCCCUGGCUCCACCUCCUGAAGGCUCCACCUCCUCCUGGUCUCUCGGUGUCUGAGGUGAAAUGUCUUCUCCCCGGGAAGCUGCCGGGCAGGGCAGGAGUCCCAGCACUACUGGAUCUUCCUAUGAAGACCCAGUGCUGUAUCCUGACUGCCCCCGCUGUCUCAGCCAGGCCAGCAGGAAGGAUCAUGAGCAGAGCAGAUGUUCUUGCUCUUCCUGGCUGCAGAUUGAAGUCCCUCCCUGCGGAUGAGAUGUUCCAACACUUUGACACCAGUAUCACCUUCCAGACUUCAUCAGACAAGACAAGAUAUUUGUUUGAGACAUGACUCCCAUGUCUUGCCUUAAGCAUACAAAUCAAAUGUGCAAGUUUAGUGAGCACAUAGACCAAUGUGUAAAAUGUACAGUUAAGAAAAUGAUAUUGGACAGGAAAUACUACGUCCUUUUCCUUGUGACUAUCCAACCUUCCAAGAGGAUUUUGUAAAAGGAAAAUAUAAGAUUUUAGGAAGAAAUCUUCAUAUUUUAGAGAAGGAAACCAAACUGGGGAAUUUUGGAUGAUACAUAGUAUUUCUCAAUAAGAACUAUAAAAUGUGACACCUCAAAGUUGUGGUAAGACCCUUACUAAAAUAUGUGGUCUACAUAGCUCUUCUAUGUGAUUCAACCAGUGCUUCACAGAAUUUAACAUGCUCAUGGGUCAUCUGGGAAUUUUGUUAAAAUGUAGUUUCUAACUCAGGAGGUCAGAGGUGGGACCUGUGAUACUGCAUUUCUGACAAGCUCCAUAGACUGCAGAUACUACUGGUCUGUAGGACAAGGAUUUAUACCAUUUUUAAAAGCAAUGUUUUUUUCUGAAUGUGGCUGCUGGAUCACUUGCACAAAACCCCCCUGUGGGUUUAUUCUGUUGUAAAGCAGAGUCCUGGGCUGUGGAUGUGGCUCAGUGGUAGAGCGGUUGCCUAGCAUGUUCAAGAGCCUGGGUUUCAUCUCCAGCACCACAAAAACAAAACAAAACAAAGCAAAACAAAACAAAACAACAGCCCUGUACUUCAUCACUGACUCACUAAACCCAGUGUCUACAGCAAAAAUCCAGGAAUCUGUAUUACCAAUACUUCUUGGAUGAUUCUGAUUUUUUAACUGACAGAUGACAAAUGUACAUAUUUAUGGUGUACAGCAUGACAAUUCAAUACAUGUACACAAGGUAUAACAAUCAAAUCAGGUUCAUUAGUAUUUCUCCUAAACAUUUACCUCUUCUAUUGGGGCACUUCAAACUCCUCUUUCCUAGUUCUUCAUAAAAUAUGUAAUAAAUUAUAAAUUAUAGUCACGCUACUGUGCUUAGAACACUAGAAUUAUUCUAUCUGUGUUGUGGUACUGGUUAUCCCUUUUAUAUCUAUACUUCCUACCCUCUAGUGACCACUAUUCUAUUCUCUACUUUUAUGAAAUCAACUUCCUUAGCUUCCUCAUGUUAAGUGAGAAAAUGCGGUAUUUGUCUUUCUGUUUCUGGAUUAUUUCAUUUAGUAUUAUGUCUUCC
rnacentral:lncRNA from 1 species